UGGGAUUCUGUGUCUCCUGCUCUCUGCCCCUCCCCCACGUGUUCUCUGUCUCUGUCUCUCUCUCCCCAAAAUAAAUAAACGUUAAAAAACUAAAAAUAAAAGAAAAUCCUCUGCCUGGUAUAGCAGAGAAUGACAAAUUCUCAAAGACUGAUCGAUAAAUUUAAUAAUAAAAAAAAAGUUACUUCCUCACCUCUGUGUCUUCUGCAAAGCCGCGUUUUAAUUCCAUUAAUAAUUUAGUUUUUUUCUCCUACAUCUAGUGGGAGAGAGACCUCAAAGUGUUUAGGCUUUAUUGUUCUGCUGAGCUAUUCAUGGGCCCAUGUAUUUCCUACUGCAUAAACCCAGACUGGACUUCGUGGACGGUGAUUACACUAAACCAACACCACAACGACCCCACCUUACUCCCAGGUUAUGGUCAAAUAUGUGUGGAUGUUUCUGACAAGCUAUGUGUGAGACGAGUGGAGGCCCAGGAGUCGGAUCCAACGGUGUUUGUGGCUGGUACAGAGGAAGGUGAGACGUAUGCAGGAAUUUCACGCUCCUUCACUCUUGAUAGGUGCUGCUAGGAAUCUGGGUUAGAGUCAAAUUUGUGUUGGAUGCUCUGGGUGAACUCCUUAACUAUUUGUUUGUGGUACUGCUAAAUAUUUCCAGAUGUCAGCACCACACAUACGCCACGAUGCUGUGAUUAAAGCCCUCAGUGCUGAAACUCUUUUUUUUUUUUUUUUUUUUUAAUAAGAAAAAUGCAUAAGGAGAAAUUAAAUCUCCCUUUCUGUCUGGAACCCACCAUACAGAUCCUGCAUUAUUUACCAACCACAAGAGUUUUUCCUUGGCUGGUACAUGCGUCUCUCCUCGUGUUUUUUCCAGCUGCUCAUACAGACUUUGGCAAAGUUACUCACUAGCUCCGAAUACCAGGAUUACCCCAUUCUCGUUUAGCAGUUCAGGGAUUUGGCACCUGGAGGAAAAGCAAAGGCGAUGUCAGAACCCUACGAAUUCCCCAAACGGAGCUAAGUGAUAGGCCCAGCCUCAUGGGGUUGUGUGAAGACGGAAGAGGGCAUUGCGUGGAAAGUAUCUACUACAGUGCCUGGUACCCCCCGUGGUCUCAGGCAAGGCCAGUUCUUUUCCUGAGGAGGGUCACGUGAUACCCGGCCAACAGAUUUUCACAUCGGCUGGGGCGGGGACAUUGGAGCCUCUGGUGUGGGUUUAUCUGUAGCGGAGACAUUGAUCGAAAAUCUUGGGGGCGCCUGGGUGGCGCAGUCGGUUAAGCGUCCG